AUUGAACGCUGGUGGCAGGCUUAACACAUGCAAGUCGAGCGGGGGAAGGUAGCUUGCUACCGGACCUAGCGGCGGACGGGUGAGUAAUGCUUAGGAAUCUGCCUAUUAGUGGGGGACAACAUCUCGAAGGGAUGCUAAUACCGCAUACGUCCUACGGGAGAAAGCAGGGGAUCUUCGGACCUUGCGCUAAUAGAUGAGCCUAAGUCGGAUUAGCUAGUUGGUGGGGUAAAGGCCUACCAAGGCGACGAUCUGUAGCGGGUCUGAGAGGAUGAUCCGCCACACUGGGACUGAGACACGGCCCAGACUCCUACGGGAGGCAGCAGUGGGGAAUAUUGGACGAUGGGGGAACCCUGAUCCAGCCAUGCCGCGUGUGUGAAGAAGGCCUUAUGGUUGUAAAGCACUUUAAGCGAGGAGGAGGCUACUUUAGUUAAUACCUAGAGAUAGUGGACGUUACUCGCAGAAUAAGCACCGGCUAACUCUGUGCCAGCAGCCGCCGUAA
rnacentral:rRNA from 1 species